AUGACGAGCGGCGGACGGGUGAGUAAUGCUUGGGAACAUGCCUUGUGGUGGGGGACAACAGUUGGAAACGACAGCUAAUACCGCAUAAUGUCUACGGACCAAAGGGGGCUUCGGCUCUCGCCUUUAGAUUGGGCCAAGUGGGAUUAGCUAGUUGGUGAGGUAAUGGGUCACCAAGGCGACAAUCCCUAUCUGGUUUGAGAGGAUGAUCACCCACACUGGGACUGAGACACGGCCCACACUCCUACGGGAGGCAGCACUGGGGAAUAUUGCACAAUGGGCGCAAGCCUGAUGCACCCAUGCCCCGUGUGUGAAAAAAGCCUUCUGGUUGUAAAGCACUUUCACUCACGAGGAAAGGUUAGUAGUUAAUACCUGCUAUCUGUGACGUUACUGACACAAAAAACACCGGCUAACUCCCUGCCACCACCCCCGGUAAUACAGAGGGUGCGAGCGUUAAUCUCAAUUACUGGGCGUAAAGCGUACACACGCGGUUUGUUAAGCGAGAUGUGAAAGCCCCGGGCUCAACCUGGGAACUGCAUUUCUAACUGGCAAACUAUAGUGUGAUAUAGGGUGGUAGAAUUUCACGUGUAUCGGUGAAAUGCGUAUAGAUCUGAAAGAAUACCGAUAGCGAAAGCGGCCACCUGGGUCAACACUGACGCUCAUGUACGAAAGCGUGUGGAGCACACAGGAUUAUAUACACUGGUAGUCCACGCCCUAUACGAUGUCUACUAGAAGCUCGCAACCUCUGUUCUGUGUUUCACAGCUAUCACAUUAUGUAUACAGCCUGGGGAGUACAGCCGCACGGUUAUAACUCACAUGAAUUGACAGGGGCGCGCACAAGCGCUGGUAGCAUGUGGUGUUAAUU
rnacentral:rRNA from 1 species